rnacentral:rRNA from 1 species
CUGAUUGAACGUGCUUGCACGGACUUGACGUUGGUUUACCAGCGAGUGGCGGACGGGUGAGUAACACGUAGGUAACCUGCCCCAAAGCGGGGGAUAACAUUUGGAAACAGAUGCUAAUACCGCAUAACAAUUUGAAUCGCAUGAUUCAAAUUUAAAAGAUGGCUUCGGCUAUCACUUUGGGAUGGACCUGCGGCGCAUUAGCUUGUUGGUAGGGUAACGGCCUACCAAGGCUGUGAUGCGUAGCCGAGUUGAGAGACUGAUCGGCCACAAUGGAACUGAGACACGGUCCAUACUCCUACGGGAGGCAGCAGUAGGGAAUCUUCCACAAUGGGCGCAAGCCUGAUGGAGCAACACCGCGUGAGUGAAGAAGGGUUUCGGCUCGUAAAGCUCUGUUGUUAGAGAAGAACGUGCGUGAGAGCAACUGUUCACGCAGUGACGGUAUCUAACCAGAAAGUCACGGCUAACUACGUGCCAGCAGCCGCGGUAAUACGUAGGUGGCAAGCGUUAUCC